GACGCGCAGGCUCAGCGGCCAUGGCUCACGGGCCCAGCCGCUCCGCAGCAUGUGGGAUCUUCCCGGACCGGUGCACGAACCCGUGUCCCCUGCAUUGGCAGGUGGACUCUCAACCACUGCGCCACCAGGGAAGCCCAAGAGAAUGUCUUUAUUUCACUGUCAUUCCUUAAAGGACUGCUCAGGAGGACCAUGAGGGAGGGGCAAGGCACAUCAUUGGAAGCAGGCCUAAGGCACAGGCGAGGAGAAAAAGUUAAAAAGCAAGCCCAAGAAAGGAGUGGAAUAAUGGCAGAGAGAGGAAGAAUACAGACAAAAUGAACAAGUACAUUUAUUGCGAAUAGAAGCUGCCUGGGCUUCCAGAGGUCUUAGGUGCACCUCUUUCAGCUGGUUCUCAGGGGCAGGAGAGUUGGGUACUAGGAGACUGAGGCUCUACUGCUGGCUGUGCCCCAGCUUCCCGAGUGACCUUGUAGAUGUCAUUUCGCCUUUCUGCCUCCUUCCUAUUGUCAAAGGCAGGCAUACUGCUAAGCUAAAAGUGCUCUGGGCUUUACCGAAGAAAAUAGCUCCAGAAAUUUAAGACAUUGCCUGCCUGUGUA